rnacentral:rRNA from 1 species
CUAAGAAUCUUCCGCAAUGGGAGCAAUCCUGACGGAGCGAUGCCGCGUGGACGAAGAAGGCAGAAAUGUUGUAAAGUCCUUUUAUAUGGGAAGAAUAAAGCAUAUAGUGGAAAGAUAUGAAGAUGACGGUACCAUAUGAAUAAGCUACGGCUAACUACGUGCCAGCAGCCGCGGUAAUACGUAGGUAGCGAACGUUGUUCGGAAUUAUUGGGCGUAAAGGGCAUGUAGGCGGUUUAAUAAGUGUGGAUUUAAAUACCGGAGCUUAACUCCGUGUAUGGUCUGCAAACUGUUGAACUAGAGUACAGAAGGGGAGAGUGGAAUUCCGCGUGUAGGGGUGAAAUCUGUAGAUAUGCGGAAGAAUACCGGUGGCGAAGGCGACUCUCUGGUCUGUGACUGACGC